AUGCUCACUUCACAGUACUUAUACUAAAAUUAAAAUGAUAAAGAGAAAAAUAACAUGGCCCCUGGAAAAGGAAGGCAUGCAAAUCCAUGAAAGAUUUUAUGUUUUU